rnacentral:lncRNA from 1 species
GCCAUGUACUCUAAUGCCUCCCUUUUCUUCCCCCAGCCCUGCCUGAUGUGGCUCUGGGAAUUCCUGCAGAGAAGAGCAGGGGUGGCCAGGAGAUAGUGAGCAGCUCCCAGGAGGCAUGGAGGGAUCCAGAACCUGGACUGAAGAACCACCUAGAAAUAACUCAGCAGAAUUCUGAAAAUGAGGUCACGCUGGAUUUUCCAAUCCAUAGGCCCAAAGUGAACUCCCACGUGGAGUAGGAUGAAAACCCACAGCAUCUAGAUCUUCAAAUUCUGGAGAAAAAGAGAGUGUGAAAGACUGCUCAGUGGCUGGGGUGAGAGUCAAGUCUGGCCAGGUGCUAAUCUGGAGAAAAGCCAAGACCUGGAGCGAGCUGGAGUGGCAGGCCCUGGAGGAUGAGAAGGUGGCAGGAGUGCACUGGGGAUACAAAGAAACCAAGAUUUUUCUGGGAAUUCUCAGAGGCCUGGAUCCACGAAAAACUCCGCACCUGCCAUCGAAACCACCAGGUGUACCGGAUUAUGGCUGAGCAGCUGUGAGAACAUGGCUUCCUGUGGACCCUGGAGCAAUGUUGCUAUCGGUUCAAAAACCUCCUGACCGACUACUGCAAAGCCAGGAGCACCUACACACCAGGCACCAGUGUCUUCUAUGAUGAGAUGGAUGCCCUGUUGAGUCUUGGGGCACUUUCUAACACCUUUGAUGCCUUAGAGGUGGUAGGAGGCCUUCUUUGGGAUUGAGAGGAUUCCAAAGGGAACCAGGGCAUAGCACUAGAAGAUGUGGCGGGAUGGUAAUGAAAUAGUGGAGGAGUCUCAAGAGGAAUCCUGGAGGCUUGGUCCCCAGGCCUUGAGGUGGAAUCCCAGUGGCAACUCUCCCCCACAAUGGACCUCAGAGCAGUGGGAGCGACGCAGUCCUGUGGGAAGCAUUCAGGCUCAGAAUCAGGAGAUGUGAUUAUUGUCCUGGCUCUGUUAUGACUAAUUUGGGUCUGGAAUGGCCUCAUCGGGGGAAAAAUUGGUGACAACUUUAAGAAAUACUGUUUAUAUCCCGUCCUCAAAUAUUGCUUGACUCAACCCUCUACUGAACCAGUAGUCCAGGGUGGCUCACAAAGACCACUUUGAGGCUCUUGCUCUGCUCUUUAGCCAAGGAGUCUCCCUUCCUGCCUUCAGUAACAACAUUACAGGAAGAGAGGAGAGAAAGGACUUCCAGUUCCCCAGCCAGAUGGGGUCACAAUGCUGCAGAAAAGUGAAGAGCUUUGGAAUGAAGAUCUCCCGGACUUCAAGGAGAUUCAGAAAACGUCCAGUGCAGGUGGGAAAUGAAUGGGAGCUAGCAUUCCACCAACAAAGUCAGCCCUGGGAUUCUAAACUCGGACAAGCCAGCACUGGUUAAGGGCUGAGGGGAACCAGGCACUCAGUGCACCCAGUUUACUAUUCUGUGGUGUGGAAAGCACAGGACUUGAGAAGCAGGUGGCACCCAGGAAAGCCUGUUCCCCUAAGUAAGUUUGAACUUUAGUUACUUGAAAAAAGGUAUAACUGAAUUAUGAGUGUUUAUGAUUUUAUCUUUAUUUUAUUUUUUUUGAGAUGGAGUCUCACCCUGUCACCCAGGCUGGAAUGCAGUGGCACAAUCUCGGUUCACUGCAGCCUCUACCUCUCAGGUUCAAGCAAUUCUCCUGCCUCACCCUCCUGAGUAGUGGGGAUUACAGGUGUGCCACCACCAUGCCCGUCUCUAAUUUUUAUAUUUUUAGUAGAGACGGGGUUUCACCAUGUUGGCCAGGCUGGUCUUGAACUCCUGACCUCAAGUGAUCCACCCACCUUGGCCCCCCACAAAGUGCUGGGAUUACAGGCGUGAGCCACUGUGCCUGGUCUAUCUUUAAAUUCCUA